rnacentral:rRNA from 1 species
AAUGGACGCUGGCGGCAUGCCUAACACAUGCAAGUCGAACGAAGGCUUCGGCCUUAGUGGCGCACGGGUGCGUAACGCGUGGGAAUCUGCCCUUGGGUUCGGAAUAACAGUUAGAAAUGACUGCUAAUACCGCAUAACGUGAGAAGAGGGCAUCCUCUUUUACCAAAGAUUUAUCGCUGAGAGAUGGGCUCGCGGCCGAUUAGGUAGUUGGUGAGAUAACAGCCCACCAAGCCGACGAUCGGUAGCCGGACUGAGAGGUUGAUCGGCCACAUUGGGACUGAGACACGGCCCAG